rnacentral:snRNA from 1 species
GUGCUCGCUUUGGCAGCACAUGUACUAAAAUUGGAAUGAUACAGAGAAGAUUAGCAUGGCCCCUGCACAAGGAUGACACACAAAUUCAUGAAGUGUUCCANAUAUAU